rnacentral:rRNA from 1 species
CUGCCAUGUAAGUCCACUGUGAAAUCCACGCGCUCAACGUGUGGACGUGCAGCGGAUACUGCAUGGCUUGGGACCGGAAGGCGUCGAGGCUAUUCCAGGAGUAGGAGUGAAAUCCAAAAAUUCCUGGAGGAGCACCUGUGGCGAAAGCGCUCGGCGAUUACGGAUCCGACGGUGAGGGACGAAAGCCAGGGGAGCAAAGGGGAUUAGAUACCCUCGUAGUCCUGGCCGUAAACAAUGUGCGUUUGAUGUCGGCUAACCUCCGUGGUUAGCCGGUGCCGAAGUAAAAACGUUAAACGCACCGCCUGGGUA